UGAUGAUGUACAAGACAAAGAAGAGAGACCAAUACAAACACCAACAGGAUUUAUAAAAGAGCUGUAGCCACAACCAAACUUCAGGCAUCCCUUUUUCUAUAUAGGCUAUUGAUUAUGAUAUAGUCUUUUUGAUAGCCUUUUAACAAAUGGUUCUGGGAAAACUGGAAAUCAUAUAUAGAAGAAUGUGUCUCUCACCCUACACAAAAGUCAACUCAAACUAGAUCAGAGACAUAGGAAUUAGACCAAAAUUCUGCACCUGCUAGAAAAAAUGUAGGCUCAACACUCCAACAUGUUGGAGGAACCAACUUUCUUAGCAAGAUUCCUAAAGCAUAAGAAAUAAAACCAAAAAUCAAUAAAUUAAAAAGGCUUCUGCACAGCAUAAGAAACAAUUAAGACUUGAAGACAGCCUACAGAAUGAGCGAUCUUUCCUACCUACUCCUUAGAUAGGGCAUCAAUAGCCAGAAUAUAUACAAAACUCAAAAGUUUAACAUCAAAAUAAGCAAAUAGCCCAACUAAUAAAUGGACAAAGGAACUAAACAGAAGCUUUUCAAUGGAAGAAAUACAAAUGUCCAACAAAUACAUGAAAAAAUUUCAACAUCUCUAGCAAUUAGGGGAAUACAAAUCAGAACCACAUUGAGAUUUAGUUUCAGUCCCAUCAGAAUGGCAAUUAUUAAUAAUACAAUCAAUAAUAAGUAUUGGAGAGUAUGUAGGGCAAAAGGUUCACUCAUACAUUGCUGGUGGGACUGCAAAUUAGUGCAACCAUUCUGUAAAGUAGAAAUGGAACUACCAUAUCACCAGCAGUCACACUCCUUGGUACAUAUUCAAAAAAAUCUAAAAUCAGUACACUAUAGGGAUACAGUUACAUCAGUGUUUAUAGCAGCACAAUUCACAAUAGCCAAGCUAUGGAACCAACCUAGGUGACUUUAACAGAUGAAUGUAUAAAGAAAAUGAGAUAUAUACAUAUAUAUCACAUUUAUAUAUGUAAUAUUUAUUUCACUUAGCAUGAUAGUCUCAGUUCCAUCCAUAUACCAGCAAAUGCC
rnacentral:lncRNA from 1 species